ACGGGGAGGCAGCAGUGGGGAAUAUUGCACAAUGGGGGAAACCCUGAUGCAGCCAUGCCGCGUGUGUGAAGAAGGCCUUCGGGUUGUAAAGCACUUUCAGUAGGGAGGAAGGUAGUGUAGUUAACACCUGCAUUAUUUGACGUUACCUACAGAAGAAGCACCGGCUAACUCCGUGCCAGCAGCCGCGGUAAUACGGAGGGUGCGAGCGUUAAUCGGAAUUACUGGGCGUAAAGCGCAUGCAGGCGGCCUGUUAAGUCAGAUGUGAAAGCCCGGGGCUUAACCUCGGAAUUGCAUUUGAAACUGGCAGGCUAGAGUCUUGUAGAGGGGGGUAGGAAUUUCAGGUGUAGCGGUGAAAUGCGUAGAGAUCUGAAGGAAUACCAGUGGCGAAGGCGGCCCCCUGGACAAAGACUGACGCUCAGAUGCGAAAGCGUGGGGAGCAAACAGGAUUAGAUACCCUGGUAG
rnacentral:rRNA from 1 species